UUUGAAAUGUUGGAUACUCAAUAAGGGGUUAAGGUCGGAUUGUAUGUUCUGCGAGAAGUUAGGGUCACAACGAGUCAAUAUAUUGAACAACAUAUUGGAUAGGGAGCAUUCAUAUAUUAAAUAUGAAGAAUAACCCAUAAUUGAAUAAAGAUAGAGAGGUCGAGGAGCACAAAAUCUCAUAUAUGGUUGGGAGAAUGAAAAAGAUGUGGAACUAUGUGCUUGCAGGUCUAAAUAAGAAGGGAUCAAAAUCUAAA
rnacentral:lncRNA from 1 species